CUUGAAUCUUAGAGAAAGAUGACGACCGAGAAGAAAGAGAUGGAAGUGGUGAAAGGUCUAGACUUGGAGAGGUACAUGGGCCGUUGGUACGAGAUUGCUUCUUUCCCAUCCAGGUUCCAACCCAAGAACGGUGCAGACACUCGCGCCACCUACACCCUUAACCCCGACGGGACCGUGAAAGUCUUGAACGAGACGUGGGACGGAGGCAAGAGAGGUUUCAUCCAAGGCUCAGCUUUCAAAACCGAUCCUAAGAGCGACGAGGCCAAGUUCAAAGUCAGGUUCUACGUCCCCCCUUUCCUUCCAAUCAUUCCCGUUACCGGCGACUACUGGGUGCUGUAUAUCGAUCCUGAGUACCAGCAUGCCGUCAUUGGCCAGCCUUCAAGGAGUUAUCUCUGGGUAGGUUUCUUUGUUUUAUGAUGAAUAAUAAAAAAAAAAAGCUAACAAGGAUUGAUAUUGACUUAUAUGUGGGCUGUGUAGAUCCUGAGCAGGACGGCGCACGUGGAGGAAGAGACAUACAAGCAGCUGGUGGAGAAGGCGGUGGAGCAAGGGUAUGAUGUUAGCAAGCUUCACAAGACAGCUCAGAGUGACACACCACCCGAGUCCGACUCUGCUCCUGACGACACCAAGGGCAUUUGGUGGCUCAAAUCUAUCUUCGGCAAAUAGUUACCUGACACAUUAAAAGACUUGUUUCACCUCCUUGUACUUGCUCUGUCUGUGUAAUAAGUAGUUUGAUUUUUGGUCAAACUUUCUACAUCAAAUACAAUUAGUGUGACAGACCUCUUUUCAGCAUAAAUAAAAACUAGAUUGGAAAAAAAAUCAGGCAAUGUUACUGGUAGGAUGAAAUAAAUAUGCUUAGUAACAAACUAACAAUAGUAUUUCAUUCUUAAGCAUAUGUUACAUAACCUUUCUGAAGAAAAAGGGGAUAAAAUACAUUCUAUAAUCUUACGUUUCGUUCAGACAUGUCUUUAUCCUUCUGACUUUAAUUUUUUAAGAUUACGUUUUGUUGCAGGAUGAGAGUAACGGAAUGGUGUCCAGUGGCUAUUAGAUUUGGUCUUGAUUCUUUCUAGUCCAUGGCCCUCUCUACCGGUUGCAUCUAUUUUUCUUCAGUUAAAUACCAUUUUUGUCACGUUCUCGCCCAUUGUAUUUUGUAUUCUACCCCACCGAACAACGAAAAGAAAAAGAGACAUUUGUGUUUAACUUUCACAUUGUAACUCAUAGAUGCCGCUAGAACCAUCUGCCCUACACGCUUCCCACGUGUCAACCUCUCCUCCCACGGAAAUCUCCUUCGUUAAAUAGAACCCAUCUUUCUUAUCCCAUUACCUCAGACGAAAAUAAUAUCUUGAAUCUUAGAGAAAGAUGACGACCGAGAAGAAAGAGAUGGAAGUGGUGAAAGGUCUAGACUUGGAGAGGUACAUGGGCCGUUGGUACGAGAUUGCUUCUUUCCCAUCCAGGUUCCAACCCAAGAACGGUGCAGACACUCGCGCCACCUACACCCUUAACCCCGACGGGACCGUGAAAGUCUUGAACGAGACGUGGGACGGAGGCAAGAGAGGUUUCAUCCAAGGCUCAGCUUUCAAAACCGAUCCUAAGAGCGACGAGGCCAAGUUCAAAGUCAGGUUCUACGUCCCCCCUUUCCUUCCAAUCAUUCCCG
rnacentral:lncRNA from 1 species